rnacentral:lncRNA from 1 species
GUCUCCCAAGCCAGAACAAGUAAGUUGUUAGGAGGGUGGCAAAAAGACCAAGGACAACGGUACUCAACAGAGGGUAAGUGCAGAGGGCAACAUUAUCAUUGUCCUUUGUUUUAGAAAAAGCUGAAGCCUUGGUGAAAUAAGGAGGUAAUCUGUGCACAAAACUCUCCUUGUUAUGCCAUGUUCCAAUUAGAAUUACAAUCACCUGAAGAACAAAUAUUGGGAGACAAUAAAGAAGCACAUAAGCAGCUGUUUUUGCAUUCCACCUCCGGCUUAAUGUUCCAGACUUCUGCAAGGUUGCACGAAGUAGAAAUAUGAGAAUGAGGAUCAGGCAUGGUUCGGCAAACCCGAGAUUUGAAACAACAUAGCAUUUGCAAACAGUUUUCUGACGUUUCAAGUUGAGGGAAUUCAGGACUCUUCCCUCCCCUCUCAACAGAUUUAACCGAAUAAUCUCUCCAAAACCCCACCAAACCGCAAAAAAGAUGAAUGUAAUUCUGAUAAUCCAAGGACCACUAAAGUAGUUGAGCCGAACAAGACCUUGACCAUGGAUCCGAUCAUGGAAGUAAAACGAAUACACGAUGCAGAAUAUACCCAGAAGGACCAGAACAACAACAAGACAAAUCGUCACCACACCAAGUGCAUCAGCAAGAAAUCUAGACAGGGGCAUUACCCAAUUCACAGAUUCUACGCAUACUAUCCGCCAGCGUGGACACAAGAAAUUUAUCUAUUGAAUAAAGGAUCCCACCUCAAUGCUCGAUAGCAAGAAGAGCUAAUUCGAAAAAUAUUAAGGCCCUCCUGUUGGUCCAAAAUAAUUAUACACGAAAACUCAAGAUCAUAUUAGAUACUACUCGAGCAAGGAUCAGGAGAAAGCAACAGGAGAGCUAUCUUAUUUUCCAACCUUGGGAGCUUUCAGCCAUCAUCAAUAAAGAGAUUCUUACACUAGCAACCAUCUUAAAGUUUCCUUUAUCAAGAACAUGAACUUUUAGCCGAGUGGAAACUCUAAACUGACAACUUUUGCAAAUUCAGUCAUCCUUGAGAGCUUUCAGUUAUCAUCGAUAAAGAGAAAUCCUCGCACUUUCAACUAUCUAAAAGUUUCCUUUAUCAAGAUUGUGAACUUUUUAGCCCAGUGGAAACUCUAAACUGACAACUUUUGCAAACUCAGACAUCCUUGCUCUUUGCGAACAUAAAAAAAUAUAAGGUCAAAAGCAUAGAACUGUUAUAACAAGACCAGAGAGAUGCACCAUAAAAAAUUCAGUAAAUAAAACUAAACUGUCUUACAAUCAACCAAAAAGUUGUAGAAAAAUAACGAAAUUCUGAAAUGAUAAAUUAAUAGAAACAAAGCAACGUAAAAUGCCAACCAAGUGAAUCACCUUGAAAAGCAGCCCAACAGAAAUUAUCCAGAAAAUUUAACAGGUUAAAAAAUAUAGUAGGCCAAGGGACAAAUAUUAAAGAGAGAAGACAGCAAAUAUCUAAUAUCCAGUUUCAGCAUUAAAUGUCAAAGAGAAACCAUGCACAAAAACCUCUGGGGCUCAAGUGGAAACCAUGCACUUCAUGACAGUUGAGUGUAAAUUAAAAUCUCAAAAAAAUAGUAAUAAUAAUAAUAAAAUCAUAAAUGCACAAUGUAAUAAGCAAAUUCAGAAAUUUAACAAUGCUAAGUAAAUCCCACUAGUAUCUGUUUGGCCCCCAUUUUCGGAAAAUGAAAAUGGGUGGAAUAGUAUUGUUUUUCCAUAAUACAUUUUACCAAAAUUUCUCUUUAAAAUGGAGCUCAAACAAAGGCUAAUUGUUAUAAAACUGUCAACUGUUGAUAGAUACAGAUACAAGAGAUCCACCUAAAAAAAAGCAUAGAUGAGUAACAAGCAAACCUAUGUCAUAAUGUCAAUAACAAAACAAAAUCAGCAAUCCUUUACAGAGUUUUCAUUCACCCCAAAGAUGUUAUACCCUCCUCAUUAGCUUUUAAGAUCCAUGAAGUUAUGAAGGUGAGAGCAUAGGCCAGCCAACAAGUUUAGGUGACCCGGAUGGGGUUGAAGGCUGACUAGGAGUAAAUAGGCUCACAUCCACAAAUGCCCCAGAGGUUUCAUCUUUUACCAUCGUACGAAAAGAUAUCGAUCCACUCCUUUCCAAAGAAGCUGAAUUUCUCCCAGGACUAGUGAGCAUACUUGUUCUGGAAGGGCCUUCAUAAUGAAUUAGUGAAUCAUAUUCAUCAAUAAACCUCAUAGCCUCUAUAUCUCUUUGUAGACUCCUCAAGACUAAAGAAUCUGCAAUGGGGAGGUACACGAGCAUGCAGAUGGCCACCACCGCACAACAUAAAAAGGAAAGAAAAGCUAAGAAUGAAAUAGCAUCAAAUAAAAGUUUAUCCGGCUCUGAUAGCACAGAUAAUCCAAGAAGAAGAACUCGUAAUGGGAAAAAACCAGAAAUAGAAAAGAUUAGUGUAUACACUCUCUUUUGUAAACCCUUAUUGAUGACCAAAUGAAGAAUUUGUCUCCCAAGCCAGAACAAGUAAGUUGUUAGGAGGGUGGCAAAAAGACCAAGGACAACGGUACUCAACAGAGGGUAAGUGCAGAGGGCAACAUUAUCAUUGUCCUUUGUUUUAGAAAAAGCUGAAGCCUUGGUGAAAUAAGGAGGUAAUCUGUGCACAAAACUCUCCUUGUUAUGCCAUGUUCCAAUUAGAAUUACAAUCACCUGAAGAACAAAUAUUGGGAGACAAUAAAGAAGCACAUAAGCAGCUGUUUUUGCAUUCCACCUCCGGCUUAAUGUUCCAGACUUCUGCAAG